AUGGACGGCUCCGACAAGCUGAAGUGUGCACGCGGCGGCGGCAUCGGCGGCGGCGGCGUUGGGCAUUCCGUGGACCGGCUGAGCGCCCUGCCGGACGACCUCCUGCACGCCGUCCUUUCCCGCCUCAAGGCCCGGCAGGUGGUGCGGACGUGCGUGCUGUCCACGAGGUGGAGGGACCUCUGGCGGUCCGUGCCCUGCCUCCGCAUUGACCAGCGGGAGUUCCAUACCGCGGCGGCCGGCAAUGGCACCCUCGUCGAGAGGCAGAGUUUCAACAACUUCGCCCACAUCCUGCUGCACCGCCAUGACGUUGCACUCCUAGAAGAAUUUCGGCUGCACGAAGACCCUGGCCCUGGCUAUGGCUAUGGCUAUGGCUAUGGCAGAUUCCAUGCUGACAGCUGGGUCCGCCAUGGCAUAAGUCAGGAUGAGACUUGGCCUUGCCGGCUCGAAAGGUUGCAUCUUAACAACGUGUCUUUGGACAGUUAUUUUGCCAGGCACAUCAGUUCGCGGUGCCCUGCUCUUGAGGACAUGCGACUGAAAAACUGCUGCUACUUACUCACCGAGGUCACCAAGAUCACCUCCUCCUCGCUAAAGAAAUUGGUCAUCGUCGGCUUCCAUGUGGUGAGGGAGGAUGCUUCUUUCAGGCUGAUUUUGGAGGCUCCUGCCCUUGCUUCCCUCCGCCUUGCCGGUCAUUCUUCUAACAAUUAUUCAGAUGUCAUGAGUCUGACGACUGUGACGAGCAUGCCAUCACUUGUCGAUGCAUCUAUCUGUCUGACGACUGUGAGGGAGUUCAAUUACAGCAAUGAAGAUAACGGCCGAAUUGAGAUGCAAUUGUCUUUGCUCAAUGAGCUUUUCAAUGUGACGAGUUUACAUUUGUCUCGUUUCGGGGUCAUGUUUCUUGUCCUUGGAGGUGAUGCUGGUCUGUUUCUCCCCGAGUUCAAAAACCUCAAGAUGUUGUCCCUUGCCGAAUGUGAUAUCAGUGAUGACUUCCUCACGCUGAAGCAUUUCCUGCGGAACUCGCCUAAUUUGGAGAAGCUCACGUUGCGCUGUUUACCUUUGUUCUUUGCUGAAGUCCAAGUUUCCAUUGGGAUCAACACAUCAAUAUUAUUUAAGGCCGUGCGUUAUGUAGAUUAUGUUCCCGCAAAAAAAAAUGUAGAUUAUGUUCUUGAUUUUUCAAGCUAUGAUCUGUAA
rnacentral:rRNA from 1 species